AAGAAGUUUAUGUAAUAGAAAUAGCCGCUAACUAAUUUCUAAAGCGGUUAAAUUCCGUUUACUUCUUU
rnacentral:tRNA from 1 species